rnacentral:rRNA from 1 species
AAUAGCCGGUCUUCCCCGAGCGCUCACCGUUCCGGAAUCAAGGGCCGCUUGACAAAAAAGGAAGAGGAGGCUAUAACUAGCCUCCUCCGGGAGACCUGAAAAAAGCAAAGCAGGGAAAGCGGGGGAGGGGUUGACAGGGAUGAUCGGGAAGUGUAGGAUCAAACGGUUGACUCUUUCGGGGAGAAAAAAGCCCUGAAGAGAAAGACGCCCUGUGGAAACGCAGGGAGAGCGUCUCGGAUCAUUGACAACUAAAUAGGAGCAGCAACGUCCAAUUAAAGGGCCCUGAUCACGAAACACAGGAACAAAAUGAAUCUGGAGAGUUUGAUCCUGGCUCAGAACGAACGCUGGCGGCGUGCCUAACACAUGCAAGUCCAACGUGAAAGGGGAGCAAUCCCCCGGUAGGGUGGCAAACGGGUGAGUAAUACAUGGGUGAUCUACCUUAGGGAUGGGGAUA